CAGUACAAGCCUAAUUAAGGUGAAACCGCGAAAGGCUCAUUAAAUCAGUUAUGGUUCCUUAGAUCGUACGCACAUUUACUUGAAUAACUGUGGUAAUUCUAGAGCUAAUACAUGCAAACAGAGCUCCGACCAGAGAUGGAAGGAGUGCUUUUAUUAGAUCAAAACCAAUCGGCGGCAGUCACUUCGGUGUCUGUUCGUCGCCCUAUUUGGUGACUCUGAAUAACUUUAUGCUGAUCGCACGGUCUUGCACCGGCGACGCAUCUAUCAAAUGUCUGCCUUAUCAACUGUCGAUGGUAGGUUCUGCGCCACCAUGGUUGUAACGGGCUACGGGGGAUCAGGGUUCAAUCCCGAGGAGGGAGCCUGAGAAACGGCUACCACAUCCAAGGAAGGCAGCAGGCGCGCAAAUUACCCACUCCCGGCACGGGGAGGUAGUGACGAAAAAUAACGAUACGGGACUCAUCCGAGGCCCCGUAAUCGGAAUGAGUACACUUUAAGUCCUUUAACCAGGAACCAUUGGAGGGCAAGUCUGGUGCCAGCAGCUGCGGUAAUUCCAGCUCCAAUAGCGUAUAUUAAAGUUGUUGCGGUUAAAAAGCUCGUAGUUGAAUCUGUGUCCCGUGCUGUCGGUUCACCGCCCGCGGUGCUAACUGGCACGUCUCACGGGACGUCCUGCCCGUGG
rnacentral:rRNA from 2 species